rnacentral:rRNA from 1 species
UACAGAGGUCUCAAGCGUUGUUCGGAUUCAUUGGGCGUAAAGGGUGCGUAGGUGGCGGGGUAAGUCAGGUGUGAAAUCUCGAGGCUCAACCUCGAAACUGCACUUGAUACUGCCUUGCUAGAGUACUGGAGAGGAGAUUGGAAUUACGGUGUAGCAGUGAAAUGCGUAGAUAUCGUAAGGAAGACCAGUGGCGAAGGCGAAUCUCUGGACAGUUACUGACACUGAGGCACGAAGGC